GUGGGUAAAGGUUGUAUUGCUAUCUGGGUGAUGAUUCAUCCGUCUGUGAACCGGGACAAGGAGGUAAUAGGAAGGCGCGAUGGCCAGGGGCAACGUUGGAACGCAAACUUAUCAGAGGCAGUGAACUCCGCGCUGCACUAAAUAGAAUUCCAUUAUUGUUUCAUAAAUAGAGAGAUUGAAGUACCCAGGCCAGGAACCGAUGAUCAGAGGGGAAUGCGUUUGAGCUCCGCUCUGAAUAGUAUUUGUUCUGACUGUGGUUUCAGAGGCACUUCCAGCAGUCCUGACCCCACCUCAGGGUUUUCUCUUCCAAAGGGGCUACAGGAUUGAGGUAGGGAGGGGCCCCAAGAGCCUCUGACUUCCCCCCAGAUCACCAGGUAAACCCAUGGGUCAGUGUCCAGCCCCUCUGCCCCAACAUCAGCAACACAGCCCUCCAUUCCAGGGCCCCUGUGUGUCCCCUUCCUCCUCCCCCCAGGAACAUCCCCGGAGCAGCCCGCGUUAGAACAGGAUCCCGACGGAUCCCGUGCUGCCUCCCCUUCAGCCAGCGCCAUCCUCUGUCCCCCAGGCCUCGCGGGCUGGGCUGCGUUUGGUUGAGCAUUGACAAAGUCACCUCCAUUCUCCUCCAAGAAAAGCCCACGAGAGACUCAGAGAAUUCUGUAGGCUGAAGACACCACGCGUGCAGCCUGAGGGGAGAGUAAAUAACCCUGUGAAGUGGGGAAGUUCCUGCCUCUCCGGAGGGCUGCCAUGGGUCAAGCUGUGCAUGGUGAGAACUGGGGUAACUGGGGCGUGACACCUCUGCCCCCACAAGAAGCCCACUGAGACAGGACCUGCCCUCCCCAAUCAGAAGAGCUUGUGCAGUGGAAUGUUCCAGAAGGCCUGGGUGGGGCUGGGCAGGAGGAAGAGCCUCAGCAACCGCACUCCCAUCCUAAGCUGGGGACUUGCCCGAAAGGACAGCUGGAGCCAUUUUCAAGCCUCAGCCUGGGCGGUCAUCUGCUCAGAUCCACUCCGAGGGUCUCACUUCCUUACGUUCCGGAACCGUACGGGUCAUGGUGGAGCGUCCUGGGGAAGUGGCUGUCGGCUUGGUUAAUGGGUCCCUGCUGGCUGUGAGGCACACGACCAGUGCCCUCUGGAGCUGCCGUCCAGCCCCAGUUCCCAUCUGCAGGGACCCAGAGUCACAUUCGCCUCCUAGAGAGGUGCUCAGAGUCGUUAUGGUCCGAGAGGCAGCCAGGGAGCUGCAGAAAUGGACAUAAACCCGUCCAUUCUCCUGCAAACACUUCUCCUUCCUCCACUCUGUGCGGAACUGGGGCCGGGGGCAGAGGUAGGAAUGGGCACAGCCUGGCCUUCCGGAGCCUGUCACUCAGUGGAGGAGGCGAGAGGCUCCACCAGCCCUAACCCGGGGCCUCGUGUUGCUGUUUGAUGUGCAGGAGAGGAGAGAGGCCAAGAGGGAGCCAGGAGUGGCUUCCAACAGGGGGACCUGGCCCAAAGCCAGGGGAGGCCGUGGGUGCCUGUGAGGGCAGGGUGGGCACAUGCCAGAGGUUGCCAUGGGGGUCGUGUGUGGACCAGGAUGGGCAGCCUGGAUGCAGAGAGGGGCUGAGUAGGAAAGGAUAUGGCCGGGAAGGAGGGCUGAUUUGUUUUCAGAAGAAUCUUUUCGUGGAACUCUCGUGUGCCAUUGUUAAGUGCAGAUGUUCCUGGACUUGGAAUGGGGACAAGUCCCGAUAAACCCACUGCGAGUUGAAAAUAUCCUAAGUCAAAAACGCAGUUCACACACCAAACCCACCGAGCAGCACGGCUUAGCCUCACCCACCUUAACGCGCUCAGACACUCAUAUCAGCCUACAGCUGGGCAAACUCAUCUAACACAAAGCCUAUUUCAGGGUAAAGUGUUGGCUGUCCCACAUAAUUUAUUGAAUACUGUACUGAAAGUAAAAACCAUAAUGGCUGCGUGGGCCCUCAGUGUGCGGUUUCCACUGAAUGCGCGCAGAUCUCAGACCUCGUGGGGUGUAGGAGCCCUAAGGGGAGCGGUCAGCCCUUGUCCUCUGUCCGCUUUCUGCCCAGUGGCCCCUCCAGGUCCCGGCGUCUCCUUGGACUCACAUUACCAGCAUUUCUGUCCAUUUCGGGUGAGACCCGAAGCAGCGAGACCCUAUCCAGGUCAACGUCUGGUGAGAGGAAUUUUUUUUUUUUUUUUUUUUUUUGACAGAAUCUCGCUCUGUCACCCAGGCUGGAGUGCAAUGGCGCGAUCUUGGCUCGCUGCAACCUCCACCUCCUGGGUUUAAGCAAUUCUCCUACCUUAGCCUCCUGAGUAGCUGGGACCUCAGGUGCCAGCCACCACACAUGGCUAAUUUUUGUAUCUUUAGUAGAGACGGGGUUUUGCCAUGUUGGCUAGGCUGGUCUCAAACUCCUGACCUCAGGUGAUCCACCCACCUCAGUCUCCAAAAACGGUGGGAUUGCAGGUGCGAACCACUGCGCCCGGCCUGAUGAGAGGAUUUUUGAGGACUGAGGGUGGCUUUAUAGCAGGCAGGUAGGGAGCUGGUGGUGGCAGAAGGGAUAAGAGAGGGGGAUGAGGCUCCUGGCAUCAAAAUGAAGCUGGCACCAGGCCGACUCCUGCCCACAACACCACAGUCUGGAGCGGCAGGAAACAGGGGACAGGGAGGGAGUCAGGGAAGGGCUGCCCGAUGGCAGGAAGGGACCAAGAGAAGAAAAAAAGUCCAGGGUCCCACAUUCCAGGAGUAAAAAGGGAAUAGAAGCCCCAAAGGGAGGCACAGCCAGACUGUAUGGCAAGCUCCGCAGGGGCCAGACUGCAUGGCAAGCUCCACAGGGGCCAGACUGCAUGGCAAGCUCCGCAGGAGCCAGCUCUGCAGGGGCCAGACUGCAUGGCAAGCUCCGCAGGGGAAGGCUCUGCAGGGAACAGCACGUCACCCAAGGUACACUAAGGAAGCUGCUGAGAGUUCUGCAGCACCAGGGCGAUGGAAGUUCCAAGUGUGGGCCAUGCACUAGAGAAGGCUUCUGAGAGCCAAACCUCUGGGGCUUGGGAAUACGUGUAAGUGACAGCAUCUUCCACUCCUUAAAUCAGUAGAUUCCCGUCAGGCAUUGAUCAGAGACCCUGAGUGUGCAGGGGACACUUUCCUCCGCAAAUGCACCUCGUGUUCGAGUCCUGCACCCCUCUCCUUCCCUGACCUACUCCCAUGGUUCUGAGCACUCAGAGCCUGUCUGCCUCCUUGAAGGCCAGAACGCACCAGCAGAGGCUCGAGCAGCCUCGCUGUCGGGAGGAGGGAAGCGCUGCAGGGCUGGGUGCCUCUGACGGCCGACACCAGCCUGGGAAAUGAGCUUCGUUGCUCGAUGGAGGCACUGAAGCUUUCACUUUACUUAGUUUUAAUUAAGUUACAUUGAAUCCCCACCCCCCGGCCCGGAGAGGGCAGCCCCGGAUGAUGCCUUUGUGUCCCCACAGCACAUUGUGAGUCCUCAACAAUUGUGCUAGCAGCUUGGUUGUGUGGUUCCCAAUUCAUAUCAGACACCCUUCCAGUCUUAGCUAAAGAGACUCUCCUGCUUGUUCAGUGCCAACAUUCUGGUGGCUGAGGUCUGAGGACACUGCCUGGCCCUUGGUUCCUGGGGGUUGGUGAAGAAAUGGGCAAAGGAAUCUCCUAGAAAUGCCAGUUCUGGAGCUGUAGGAGUCGUAGACCAAGGGGCCGUAGACCAAGGGGCUGUCUCAUGCUUCUCCAACCACGUUUGGCCAAAAAGAGCUUUUGUCUUUGGACUUUUGCUUUGCUGUAAGUCCCUUCCGUAGCUCCGAUGAGCCUGGUCCCAGCAGAGUGCUCUGGCCUUCAGGCUGGGUCUCCUCCCGUCCAGCCAGGGCUGUCUGGAUGUGAAGGGUCUGACCUACAGGAUCCGUAAAUGGACUUCCUGGAAUUUUGUCCUCGGACCAGCACUACCACCAAAACGCACACAGCAUUUCUCUCCUCUCCCUCAAG
rnacentral:lncRNA from 1 species